AAAAGAGAAGGAUGGAGGCUCUGUGGAAGCCUUAGAUACACUAUCACAUCUGUCCUGCUUCGUGGUCCUGCGCCCUAGCCCCAAGAUACUCCUGAGUUGGGCAUGGUGGUGCCCCCUUUAAUCCCAGGGCUUGUGAGGCAAAGGGAGGCAGAUCCCUGAUGAAUGCCAGGCCCGCCUGCUGUACCUAGCCAGUUUGAGACCACCCAGAGCUACACAGAGAGACCCUGUCUCAGGAAAAAAAAAAAAAAAAGCUCUCAAAAGCCUCUCUACUUCUGCCCACGGUCCAUUUCUAAGUCCCCUCCGUCCCAGCAAGUACUCACCAGAGUCCUCCUUGCCAGACUCGGGCUCUGGCUCCUGACCAUCAGGGAGCAGGGAAGCCUCUGUAGCUCCUGGGCCUGCAGUGGACUGAGGAGCUCGGACAACUCGGCCUGCCCGGGCGCCUCCCCGGCCAGCCACUUUUCGCUUCUUCUCGGCUUUGCUAGCCAUCUUGAAGGCAAAACCUGCAGGUACACGGGGGCAGGAAGUCCACCUCCAGAUCCCACCUCUAACCCAGCCUCCAGGUACACAUGUUCCCUCUGGACUCAGAAACUUGAGUGGGACACCUUAGAUGAUCAUCUUUUCUGGGGGUACCCUGCUGUACCCUCGGAGCAUACCCAAUAGAACCUUGGCUCCCAAGGGUCACAGCUCAGUGGUAAAGUGCUUGCUUGGAAUGUGUAUACAAGGCCCUGGGUUAGGCUCCAAACACCCAAUUUAAGAAGGGAGGGGGACCAUGGAGGCCUCUCUUCUUCCCUGGGAUAACCCAAACUCUUCACAGAAUCAGAUUAAAAGUCAAAGCCCCGGGCAGGCUAGAGGGCUCAGAACGUUAAGGUGCUUGCCAACCAGUCUAAGGGCCUGAGUUCAAUCCCUGGGGUUCAUGUGGUAUAGAGUGCACAUGCACAAGUGUUCUCUGCCCUGCAAGUACACACCACGGCAUGCACACACACACAUACACACACACAAACUGCAAGUAGGGGAAAUCAAGGUCUCAUAAGCCAUUAGGAAUAAACAAAUAACAGACACAGGAACUGAAAAGAUAGCUUUCUCCUCGUCAGGACCACAAGAGUUUGGUUCCCCAGCACCAGGUGACUCACAACUGUCUGUAACUCCAGUUCCUAGUGAUCUGACUCCCUUCUUUGGGUAUCUACACACGUUUGCAUACAUAUAUAUGUACAUAUACAUUAAAUAUAUAUAUAUAUAUAUACACACACACACAUACAUACACAUACACACAUACACACACACAUAUAUAUAUAUCAGAAACCGCACUAAGGGAGGUUAUGGAAAACGUCUAUGUUCACCCAGGCCUUCAGCUACACUAUCCUGCAGUCUCCUGAAUAAGAGAAGGCACAGUCCCGGUGAUUGCCACCAUCGUCGCUGUUACUGUGUCAAGUCACUGAGGCAAACCCAGAUGAUUUUCCUAUGUAGCUCCUCUCCUCCUC
rnacentral:lncRNA from 1 species